rnacentral:misc_RNA from 1 species
GAUGAAGAACGCAGCGAAAUGCGAUAAGUAAUGUGAAUUGCAGAAUUCAGUGAAUCAUCGAAUCUUUGAACGCACAUUGCGCCCGCCAGUAUUCUGGCGGGCAUGCCUGUUCGAGCGUCAUUUCAACCAUCAAGCCCCAGGCUUGUGUUGGGGACCUGCGGCUGCCGCAGGCCCUGAAAACCAGUGGCGGGCUCGCUGUCACACCGGGCGUAGUAGAUUUUAUCUCGCUCAGGGCGUGCUGCGGGUUCCGGCCGUUAAAAAGCCUUUUUUACCCAAGGUUGACCUCGGAUCAGGUAGGACUACCCGCUGAACUUAAGCAUAUCAAUAAGCGGAGGA